rnacentral:rRNA from 1 species
AGAGUUUGAUCCUGGCUCAGGACGAACGCUGGCGGCGUGCUUAACACAUGCAAGUCGAACGGAAAGGCCCUUCGGGGUACUCGAGUGGCGAACGGGUGAGUAACACGUGGGUGAUCUGCCCUGCACUUUGGGAUAAGCCUGGGAAACUGGGUCUAAUACCGAAUAGGACCACGCGCUUCAUGGUGUGUGGUGGAAAGCUUUUGCGGUGUGGGAUGGGCCCGCGGCCUAUCAGCUUGUUGGUGGGGUAAUGGCCUACCAAGGCGACGACGGGUAGCCGGCCUGAGAGGGUGACCGGCCACACUGGGACUGAGAUACGGCCCAGACUCCUACGGGAGGCAGCAGUGGGGAAUAUUGCACAAUGGGCGCAAGCCUGAUGCAGCGACGCCGCGUGAGGGAUGACGGCCUUCGGGUUGUAAACCUCUUUCAAUAGGGACGAAGCGCAAGUGACGGUACCUAUAGAAGAAGCACCGGCCAACUACGUGCCAGCAGCCGCGGUAAUACGUAGGGUGCGAGCGUUGUCCGGAAUUACUGGGCGUAAAGAGCUCGUAGGUGGUUUGUCGCGUUGUUCGUGAAAACUCACAGCUUAACUGUGGGCGUGCGGGCGAUACGGGCAGACUAGAGUACUGCAGGGGAGACUGGAAUUCCUGGUGUAGCGGUGGAAUGCGCAGAUAUCAGGAGGAACACCGGUGGCGAAGGCGGGUCUCUGGGCAGUAACUGACGCUGAGGAGCGAGAGCGUGGGGAGCGAACAGGAUUAGAUACCCUGGUAGUCC